rnacentral:rRNA from 1 species
GAUGAACGCUGGCGGCGUGCCUAAUACAUGCAAGUCGAGCGAACAGACGAGGAGCUUGCUCCUUUGACGUUAGCGGCGGACGGGUGAGUAACACGUAGGUAACCUACCUAUAAGACUGGGAUAACUUCGGGAAACCGGAGCUAAUACCGGAUAAUAUUUCGAACCGCAUGGUUCGAUAGUGAAAGAUGGCUUUGCUAUCACUUAUAGAUGGACCCGCGCCGUAUUAGCUAGUUGGUAAGGUAACGGCUUACCAAGGCAACGAUACGUAGCCGACCUGAGAGGGUGAUCGGCCACACUGGAACUGAGACACGGUCCAGACUCCUACGGGAGGCAGCAGUAGGGAAUCUUCCGCAAUGGGCGAAAGCCUGACGGAGCAACGCCGCGUGAGUGAUGAAGGUCUUCGGAUCGUAAAACUCUGUUAUUAGGGAAGAACAGACGUGUAAGUAACUGUGCACGUCUUGACGGUACCUAAUCAGAAAGCCACGGCUAACUACGUG